UACGAAGGGGGCUAGCGUUGUUCGGAAUUACUGGGCGUAAAGCGCGUGUAGGCGGCAACGCAAGUCGGGCGUGAAAUCCCACGGCUCAACCGUGGAAGUGCACUCGAAACUGCGUAGCUAGAGUCCUGGAGAGGAAGGUGGAAUGCUUGGUGUAGAGGUGAAAUUCGUAGAUAUCAAGCGGAACACCGGUGGCGAAGGCGGCCUUCUGGACAGUGACUGACGCUGAGACGCGAAAGCGUGGGGAGCAAACAGG
rnacentral:rRNA from 1 species